rnacentral:rRNA from 1 species
GCAGUAGGGAAUAUUGGGCAAUGGAUGCAAGUCUGACCCAGCCAUGCCGCGUGCCGGAUGAAGGCCCUCAGGGUUGUAAACGGCUUUUAUCCGGGAAGAAGAGCAGGGAUGCGUCCCUGUGUGACGGUACCGGAUGAAUAAGCACCGGCUAACUCCGUGCCAGCAGCCGCGGUAAUACGGAGGGUGCGAGCGUUGUCCGGAUUUAUUGGGUUUAAAGGGUGCGUAGGUGGCUUUUUAAGUCAGUGGUGA